CCGGAAGCUAAGAGGUCACACCAGGUGCAGUUAUGGCGGGUAAAUGUUGUAAAAUGGCAGAAAAGCUCGUUAAUGACGGAGCCGCCGCGCAGGUGAGCUCCGUCUCUGCAGCUGAGGAAGAAGACAUUUCACAGUUUCACGUCCGUCACGUGUUAGAAACCUCGUCAACACGUCC